rnacentral:tRNA from 1 species
GGGGAUGUAGCUCAGUUGGUUAGAGCGCUUGACUGGCAGUCAAGAGGUCGUGAGUUCGAAUCUCAUCUUCUCCA